CUAGCGGGAGAACCAAUCAAGCCCUAAGUCUGGUCAGAUAUAUUUAAAAAGCCGAUCUUAGACUUGUCAUGCCACUCUCUUUGUACAGCUCUUAGGGACAUGAAUACAAUGGAAGUUUGGUCCCUUUGGGACAGUUACAGGUCUUUUCUCCCCUGAAGCAACAACACAAACAGAAGAUUACAUGCCAAGAGAAGGGGCAACUGCUAUGACAGUCAAAAUUCGUUUGCCCGGUUCUCUCAAGUGAGAGAUUACACUUUGUCUUCUGCAGUUUUUACCUCUUGCAAUCCACCAUAUUUUCAGAGACAAGUUUUGUGGAUGUUCCUUUUGAAGCUUUUAACCGGGAAG